GUCUACAGCCAUACACCCUGAAUACAUCCAAUCUCAUCUGACCUCGGUAGCUAAGCAGGGUCGGGCUUGGUUAGUAUGUGGGUGGCAGAUUGCUUUUUUAAAUCAUCUGUGUAACCAGGACAGUUGCACAAU
rnacentral:rRNA from 1 species